ensembl:lncRNA
CUUACCUUAAUUUUCAGUGUCAAGGAUGGAGAUCUCCACAUAGCACCAGGGAAACUAUUGUGUUGUGUGAUGGUUGCAUACCCCAGAACAUUCACUUUAUGAAUUACAGCUCUUAUUUCAGCCAAACGGACAUUUUACUUAGGGAAAUGAAAGUCCAUAAACCACUACACCCUAUUUUUCUCAGAGCAUCUGGAAAUUACUAUUUUCCUCACAUUUUCCUCUCAGAGACCACAUAGCAAUUUAUUCAUAGGUCUCCUAUAAUAAAAUUCAUAGUUGACAAGCUGUCCAUCAAAGUGUUCUCAUCUGCAGCAAGGUGAGUCACACAGCAACCAAAGAUCCUGACACAUAGGAGCUUGUUUCUUGGUCUUGCCAACUUGUACUCAGCUCAUUUGAUGGACUAUGAAAGUUUUUUUCUCAGGAAAGCAAAUAUUUUUCCUGAUUGCUUGAGAAGAAAGUUCUAUUAAAUCAAGACUAGCAUAGAGAUGGCUUCCUCUUCCCUUCCAUCACAGCUCGUUUUUAUGAUUUUAUUCACCAAGAGUUACUGGACUGCAGCAAUAUGGCUGGACUGAACACUCAGUGACACAUCCCUGUAUCAUUUGUUCUGGGAAGGGAAGAAAAACCUUUUACAUCACAGUUAAUUACACUGACAACCACCAGCUCUCUUAACCCCCGCUGAGAUCAGAUGAUGAAGAUGACCCAUUAAAGCCUUGUUCACCAGAAUAUCAUCCAACAUCCUCUAAAAAAUACUCAUCAAAUACAAACUGAAAGAUGAAUGGCAUAAAAUCAGGGGAGUUAUCUGAACUUAAAAAUACAGAAAUAAAGCCCAAGCCAUAGGGCCAUACGUGGCUAGCAUAGGGCAUCUCCCACCUGGCCAAAUGCAGCUAUAGGAGGGCUAUUGGUGCACGUAUUGACAUUUGCAAUCUGGUUUUAAAGCCUGCAAUUCUGAGAGCUGGUUCCUAUCCUACAUCCUCCAUGGUCCUCAUGACAGCAGAAGAAAAAAAGAGACACAUGAAACAUCGAGAAAGCCACAAAUAUCAAACACUACACUUUAAAGCCUUAAGCAAAAGGCAUCCCCUCAUCAUCAAUCUGAAACUGCUCUGUGUGAAUGUAGUCCCCAGAGGCUGGAUUACAUUCAUUAUGCACAAAACUCCCUUGAAGCCAAUGCCUGUCCCUGCACUGGCUGCAGACAGUGUGAGCACAGGUCCAUAUGAAGGUCACCAUCCCAAAGGGUUCCCAUUUCUGCACAUAGAUUACUCUUCGUUACCACCUCUCCCAGAAAGAACAGAGAGAAACACAGUACGGUAGGAUCAACUUUAUGGCCACUAAGAUGCUCAGAGGGCUGGAGCACCUCUCCUAUGAGGAAAGGUUGAGGGAACUGGGCUUGUUUAGCUUGGAGAAGAGAAGGCUCCGGGGAGACCUCAUUGUGGCCUUCCAGUACUUGAAGGGAGUGUAUAAACAGGAGGGGGAACGGCUGUUCACGAGGGUGGAUAGUGAUAGGACAAGGGGGAAUGGUUUUAACCUGAGACAGGGGAGGUUUAGCUUGGAGAAGAGAAGGCUGCGGGGAGACCUCAUUGUGGCCUUCCAGUACUUGAAGGGAGCGUAUAAACAGGAGGGGGAAUGGCUGUUCAUGAGGGUGGAUGGUGACAGGACAAGGGGGAAUGGUUUUAACCUGAGACAGGGGAGGGUUAGGUUGGAUAUGGGGAGGAAGUUUUUCCCCCAGAGGGUGGUGACGCACUGAACAGGUUGCCCAAGGAGGCUGUGGAUGCCCCAUCCCUGCAGGCAUUCAAGGCCAGGCUGGAUGUGGCUCUGGGCAGCCUGGGCUGCUGGUUGGCGACCCUGCACAUAGCAGGGGGUUGGAACUGAUGAGCACUGUGGUCCCUUUCAACCCAGGCCAUGCUGUGGUUCUAUGAUUCUAUGAUUCACCACACCAAGACAUUGCACCCACUCCCCUGGAGAAAUGCUGGGAAUACACCAGGAGCUGCUGGAGGGGCACACAGAGCACUGGAGACUGUGUAACUUCCUGAGCACUCAGUAAUUCAUUAGGAACUGGACUGGGCUUUGAUCAGAGCCAGUAAUCAGUAUUUGAUAGCCCAAAGCCCACAAGAAGCACGGCAGGCUGAACUGCGGGGCCGCAUCCAACCCGAUGCCUUUAGCA